rnacentral:lncRNA from 1 species
UGACCCUCCUUAAACCAAAUUGCUAGGUAAACGAACCCGUUGGCGAAGACGGUUCGGCAAUCCGACGAGCCGUUACAAAGUUGUUAAAGAAACGGACGUUUAGGCUUCGUUACCGCCUGGAGGGCCGAGGCGACGUCGUAAAAUCAUGGAAAUGGAUUUGAAGCACCGUGGCACAUAACCGAAGACCUUUAAUUUUCAGAUCGUGGAUCGGAGGCCGUUCGGGUGGUCGCGCAAAAGAUCGGGCCAAACCGGAUUACGGGUGCGACGGGAGGCCGAUUGCAAGUGUCGACAAGCAAUCGGAAAGCGUUUUGAGGUGGGUCGUGCUCACUGAAGCGAUUAGGUCGCUUUCCAUGCUAAAGUAUAGUAUGUUUACUAUUGAUGCAUGAUAAAGUAUGCUAUUUAAGAAUGCAUGAUAAAGAUUAAAGUAUGCUAUUUAAGAAUGCAUGAUAAAGAUUAAAGUAUGCUAUUUAAGAAUGCAUGAUAAAGAUAGAUGUCAAAUGAAUGCAUGAGUUGAUGUUAAUUUACAUGAGCAUAUUAUAGAAAUGUUAAACAGAUGUCAAAUGAAAGUAUGAGAUUUAUUCUAACCGAGAAUGCAUGUGGUAAAUGUUAACGAAUGCAUAAAAUGCUAAGUAAUGACUACCAAUGGAUGACAAAAUAUAUGCAUGUUGAACAUAGAUCGAGUGGCAUUUGGAAAUGGUAAAGUGGACACUAGAGUUAGUGUGGGACAUCAAAGAAUAAAUGUGAUGUAAAGAAUAAUGAUAAUGGCUAAAGAUAAUGUAAAACAAUGUGAUGAUAAUAAUGUAAUGUUGCAUGAUGUGAGUACACGUGCUUAUUAGAAUGAUUAAGAAUCUAAAUAAUCUAUGUGUAUGCAUGAGAUGUAAUGUGAGAACCUAAUGAUAAUGGUUUGAGACAAGGCAAAGCAAUGUGAUGUAAAGAAUAAUGAUAAUGGCUAAAGGCGAUGUAAAGUAAUGUGGCAUAAAGAGCAAGCAAAGUGUAAAGAACAAUGAUAAUGGCUAGAGUUAGCAACCAAUGUGACAUAAAGAACACUAGAGUUAGUGUGUGGCAAUAAAAGAACAAGUGUGAUAUCAAGAAUGACAAUUACUAAAGUAAUUGAUAAUUGUGGUAUAAAGAAUAAUGAUUGCUAGAGUUAGCAACUAAUGUGAUGUAAAGAACACUAGAGUUAGUGUAAAACCAUGAUCCAACUACAUAUCCUUAGAGUUAAGGAUUGAUCAUACUUGCUAUGAGUUCCGUGCUCGAGGGCGGUCGCUCCCCCUCGAGCGAUGCGCUCCGGAGUUUGGCAUCCGGGUUGGAGUAGACCCGUAAGGACGGUCCUAGCUGGUGAGUUCCUGCGAUGAUGGACUUAAUGUGAAGCAAGUUAAUGUGGCGAAACCCCCGGGUUAGCCGUGAGAUUAAAGAACAAAGAACAAAAAGGAAUCAUGAAUUGGAAAGUGGAUCUUGUAUUCAUUAUGAAUUGACUCAAGACGGAGUCGAGUGGCAUAGUUGGCUAAAGUAAAGGUGACAAUUGAGAAAGAAUGACAAUUGAGAAACGUUUGUUAAUGUUAUAAAGAAUGGCAAAAGUGUAUAAUGCGCCUAAGGUGCGAGUGCCCUUAAUAAAGAAUAAAGAAUAAAGAAUAAAGAAUAAAGAAUAAAGAAUAAAGAGUAAAGAAUGGCUAAUGAUAAAGAAUAGCAAAUUCUAAAGAAAGUCUAAUGGUAAAGAAUAACUAAGAGUUGCAUAAUUUGCAUAUUUGUGAGGCAUGAACAUGUAUUGCAUGAUGUUAUAUGUAUAUAUAUCUGUUGGACUAACAUGUUGCAGUGCCUCCUUUGGACCUGGUGGGUUGAGCUUUUCACUUGGGUGGCUGUACCCACUGACGACUAUGGACAAUAGUCUCACCCCCGUGUUGUUGUUUUUGGGGGUACAGGUUCACACGCGAGCGGCGCGGCGGCGCGAGGAAAGGGCGUAGCUCCGUAGUUAGCGCCCUACCACAGAGACCAGAUAGCAGCACCCUGAGUCGGCUUCUUAGGGGUAUAAGAAAAGAAAAGAAAAGAAUUGAUGUUGUAAUAUUAUGUUUAGAAAUCGAUUGUAUAUUUGGAAGUUGAGAAUCAAUGUAAUGAAAAAUGCGAUGUAAAAUGAUGAGAUGAAUGAUUGUAAUAACAUAGGAUGUGUUAUGUUGUUUGAUACCUUCCUUAUGCAAUCGUUGUUGAAAAAUUGUUCCUGUUUGGAACCUCUUGUACUUGGAUUGAUUGCGACGCCUUGAACGUACAGGGGAGACUCUGUCCGCGUGUAGGGAAAACCCUGUCCGUUCGGCGGUCUGUUGGCGUGCCCGAAUCCGACCAAAGAGGCGGGCUCGGGGCGUGACAGAUAAGAUGGUAUCAGAGCAUAAAGUAGAGAAUGGGAAAGUGGUUUAGAUGAACCUAGGAGACCCUAGGAUAGUAAACCAUAGGAGAUUAAGGCUCGUGAGAGACGAGGACUUGUGGCUUUGGCGAAAGGUUAAGGGAUUGGGUUGUGUUGUAAACCUCUAAAAAGGAGAUUAGAGGUGGAUUCAAGGUGUGGUCUACUCUCAACCGAGGGUGUUCAUGUUGGACGCGUACAACAUGAAACCGAGUGAUGAGAAUAGAUGACCUUGUAUGACUUUCGCCUGAUUUGAGUUGAUGUCAGUUGUCUCGUACUCGACCUAGAAGGUUGAGAGUUAGUUGAGUUGUUAUGUUCUAGGUAACGAUGGCACUGCGUAGGCGAUCUUCGUUUAGAUCGACGCGGGGUGGGACAAGUGAUGUCCCAGAGCAAUCCAAGGCGAGCGGAGAUUUGGAACUUCGCGAACAGUUGGCCACACUUGUGGGUGUGGUGAGGCAACGAGCAGAUGUGGUGCAGCGGCAGCAGGAGGCUGUUAUGCACCAGGAGGAGCGAAUUAAGAGACUCCUGAAAAGUUGUAGGUGUAAUAUACCGAAACUUCGGUAAGCGAACAUCGAACCUUGGUCAAAUUAACCAAAGAGCGAGGUUGGUACACUUCGGAAAGGCCGAAGGCAUCAAAUAAUGCAAAAGUGCGUUACUGGGGAUCUUCGAGAGCUUUGGGAAUCAAAAUCUGCAAAUUGCAGGUUUUCUGCUCUCGGGGACCGGUCUCUGGUGGGAGAGACCGGUCCCCGCACGCGCAGACAGCGAAAGGGAGGAAAAAAAAAAAAAGGCUAAGUCCCCGGUGGACAGCUCUCGGGAACCGGUCCCUGCAGGGAGAGACCGGUCCCGAAGAGACCGGUCCCAUCGGGGGAGACCGGAUGCAUCGUGCGUGAGCCCUGCUGACCGCGGGGAGAGCUCUCGGAGACCGGUCCCUCGUCGGGGAGACCGGUCCCCGAACCUGAGAGUGGCCCAGUCAGGGCAGUGUAAAAGAGUAAAAGUUGAGAGGCUUGUUUGCACUUAUGCAACAUGUGGGGCUAUGUGAGGAGUAUGAGAGCUCUUUUCUCUCAUUUCUCAUCCACACACCCUCUCAUAUCUCUCUUUCUCUCUCUCUAGAAGACAAGAAGAGGAAGAAGAAAGGAAGGAAAAAGAAAGAGAAAGAGCGGGCUUUGGCAGCCCUCAUGACCUUCAUAAAGUUUGAUCCACCUACCUUCGAUGGAGAGAAUGUCGAUUCGUGGAUUGUGGAUACGUGGAUUGACUCCGUGGAAACGCUCUUCGAGGAGCUGUCUACCUUGGAGCGGGACAAGGUACCCCUAGCCGUGUAUUGUUUGAAACAGUCGGCUAAGGCGUGGUGGAAAGGCAUUCGACGGAACCGAUCGCCUAGUAUUCCUCCAUGGCAUGGGAUGAGUUUUGGGGAUUGGUAUCUUCUACUUACUUCCCCCGACAGUGAAAAGAGAAAGCUUCAGGACAAGUUCAGGAAGCUGCGGCAAGGAGACCGCUCAGUUAGAGAAUACGAACGGGAAUUCUCCCUAUCAUGAACUGUAUCCGAGAUAUGGAGCCUGCUGCUGACGACGUCAUGGCGGGUAUGAGCUGUUAAUGCAGUUAUGUGUUUCUGCAUAAUGUAGAGUUGGUGCAUUGCAUGCAUUGAGCAUGUAAUUAAUUACUACUAUUUAUGUAGUAGCAUAGUAGGGUCCAAGUGAGCGGGUAAAUGUAAACACCCGGGCACGCUUAUGUGGUGAAAGCGUUGCACCUGCCGGUGCAGGUAGAGAACUGGAUGGUACUAGCGAGUUGCUAGUGGUGGUCUAAUGAUGAGACUUGUAGUAGAGGUGGAAAUGACGAACCAACUCGCAGAGCAAUCUAUGUAAUUGAUUGCGAGAGUUGUGUCAUGACACUUGUGGACACUCGAAUGGUUUGAGUGUUCUAGAUGUUGCUCCGGUAGAGCGAUUGGCUGCCAAAUACGGGCGCGUUGGCCUAGUAGUACCUCGAAUUGAGGUGGGUGAGUCGUGCUCGUGUGGCCGGUGUGCAUAGGCAAGAGUUGCCUAAUGCUGGACAUAGUGUGGAGCGCUUUAGAGGCGUGCGAUACACGAGUAUAGUUACUCGUGGAGUGCGGAUUUAGUUCAGCCGGAUGAGUGUGUUGGCAGUAGCACCUGAGCAUUGCUAGGUGUGAAGCGUGCCACGGAUCACUCGUGGGGCUGGUGGCUCGCACUAGGUGCAUAGGAGCCGAUAGUGGUACGUAUUGUGCUAUAGAGCGUGUAGUGCGAUUGAUAGUAUACUGAGAGUGCGAGUGUGACCCAACCCGGGAAUCUGUAACGGUUUGGGAUCUUAGUUGCUCCUGGUUGGAGUGUGUGCGAAUUCCCAAGUGAGAAUUUCGCCCCAAUGAUGAUUGGGUCUGCAUUGCGAGCGAGAGACGCUGCGUAUUGAGAAAGGUUUAGGUGGUAGGCCUACAUAGUAUUGGUGGCCUUUGGACCACCAGUGGAAACCGAGGAAAGCGAUUUGGCGGAUAGACUUAUCGAGAGGUUUGACUCGAAUUCACGAACAAAGUGUUCUUGUGAGCUCUUUGCAGAAAUGGUUUGACGUUGACCAUGGCAUAUGGUAUUGAAAAAUGAAGUGCUCUUGGAGAGACCUUGAGCUUAUGGCAAGCCACGUGGAAUUUGAGAACUGGAAGUGGGGAUGUGCCGAAGUGGGCCAUCUCACUUAGAGCAAAAAGUCGGGGCGGAAUUAGAGCACUCGCGGUGAAGCGAUGCACUAGUGAUGUUGCUUUUAAGCAAUGUUGGAGAUAGAAUCGGAGUGUAUUCCCUGAGGGGAAAGUAAAUGCGAAGAAGAGUUCUUGUAUGCCAAAUGACAAGUGGUAUUGGACCGCGUGAAGUCGUUGAGUUUCGACUUGCGCCGCCACCAAGAGUGAUGGAUACCCUAAUGCACUUUGUGAGAUGCGCCUUGCAAAUUUGGAUGCAUUUAGUAUCAUGAACUCCGUGGUAGUCCUCUUGGAUAGUUCCAAGGAGUGUGAAGCCAUUCCGAAGUGGAAAGCGUAUUGGUGCUCUCAAUUACUCGAGGAGCUGAAUCGAGUUGUGGUUUGAAUUUCGCGGACGAAAUUCUUUUAAGGGGUGGAGAAUGUAAUAUACCGAACUUCUAAAUUCACGAAGUUACGAUGUAAGUUAGCUUAGAAAGCCAUUGGAAUCGUCCCGGCGAAGUUCGGGAGCAUUCGGGUGCUUCGGUGCGCAUAGGGCGCGAAAACGGAGCCGAAAGGCUAUGUUGGACCGUGAGUUAAAUCCGGCAUUAGCGUGGAUGAAAAGAUGAUGAAAACAUGUUCGAAAACAUAUUUGGAGAGUCUCGGUUCGAUUUGAAAUGAAUCAGAGGUCAAACGAGCGAAAACGAGCGAAAACGGAGCUAAAAUGGUGAAAAAGCUGAAAAUUUGGCUAAGUCCUUGAAGGCUGAUUUCUGGACCUUCGGGGACCGGUCUCUCAGUCAAGGACCGGUCUCUCAGGGACCGGUCUCUCAUCGCAAGGACCGGUCCCCGAAGCCCGAAAAUGCCCAGUUCGGGCUGUUGUGAGAAAUGCAUUGUUGAGGGUGUUUUCAGCAAUUUUGCACUAAUAGAGGCUAUUAGAUGGUGGAAUGAGAUCUUUCUCUCAUUUCUCUCACUCUCCCACACCAAAACCUCUCCCUCUCUCUCUCUAGAAAGAAAAGAAGGAGAAGAAGAGGGGAAAGAAAGGGAAGAAGAAGAUGAAGGAGAAGAGGCCAAGAAGAUAGAGUUUCAUCUUCAUCUCCUUCCUUGAGCCAUAGGAGCAAGCUUAGAGAGGUAAGCCUUAUGCUCUCUAAUGGUAGACUUCUAGAACUUGGUUUAUAUGUUCUAGAAUUGGAUUUUAUGUACUCCUAGCAUGUCAAAUAGAUGAUAAAUGCUUGGAUCAUGAGAUGAAAUGGUAGAUUUUGCAAUAGUUGCAUAUUAGGGCUCCAAAAAGGGGGUUUUUGUAGAUAGUUGAGUUUGAUCUCAAUUGACCCUCUAUAAACCUAAUUGGGGGUAUAACGAACGCGUUGGUGCGCUCGGUUCGACAAUCCGACGAGUGUACGCAAAGUUAUUGACGAAACAAUCUGUUUUGGUACAGAUAACUGCAGCACGCGGGAUAAGCCUCCAAAAAUCAUGAGAAUGGAUCGGGAGCAUCGUGGUGUCGGGGAAUAAACUCCCGAACAGACGGAUCGCGAAUUGGUGGCCGUUCGGGUGGUCGCACAAGAGUUCGGGCCAGACCGGGUUACGGAUGCCGCGGGAGGCCGAUUGCAAGUGUCGACAAGCAAUCGGAAAGCGUUUUGAGGUGGGUUGUGCUCACCGAAGCGAUUAGGUCGCUUUCCAUGCCAAAGUGUAGUAUGUUUACUAUUGAUGCAUGAUAAAGUAUGCUAUUUGAGAAUGCAUGAUAAAGUAUGCUAUUUAAGAAUGCAUGAUAAAGAUAGAUGCCAAAUGAAUGCAUGAGUUGAUGUUAAUUUACAUGUGCAUAUUAUAGAAAUGCUAAAUAGAUGUCAAAUGAAAGUAUGAGAUUUAUACUAACCGAGAAUGCAUGUAGUAAAUGUUAACGAAUGCAUAAAAUGCUAAGUAAUGACUACCAAUGGAUGACAAAAUAUAUGCAUGUUGAACAUAGAUCGAGUGGCAUUUGGAAAUGGUAAAGUGGACACUAGAGUUAGUGUGGGACAUCAAAGAAUAAAUGUGAUGUAAAGAAUAAUGAUAAUGGCUAAAGAUAAUGUAAAACAAUGUGAUGAUAAUAAUGUAAUGUUGCAUGAUGUGAGUACACGUGCUUAUUAGAAUGACUAAGAAUCUAAAUAAUCUAUAUGUAUGCAUGAGAUGUAAUGUGAGAACCUAAUGAUAAUGGCUUGAGACAAGGCAAAGCAAUGUGAUGUAAAGAAUAAUGAUAAUGGCUAGAGGCGAUGUAAAGUAAUGUGGCAUAAAGAACAAGCAAAGUGUAAAGAACAAUGAUAAUGGCUAGAGUUAGCAACCAAUGUGACAUAAAGAACACUAGAGUUAGUGUGUGGCAAUAAAAGAACAAGUGUGAUAUCAAGAAUGACAAUUACUAAAGUAAUUGAUAAUUGUGGUAUAAAGAAUAAUGAUUGCUAGAGUUAGCAACUAAUGUGAUGUAAAGAACACUAGAGUUAGUGUAAAACCAUGAUCCAACUACAUAUCCUUAGAGUUAAGGAUUGAUCAUACUUGCUAUGAGUUCCGUGCUCGAGGGCGGUCGCUCCCCCUCGGGCGAUGCGCUCCGGAGUUUGGCAUCCGGGUUGGAGUAGACCCGUAAGGACGGUCCUAGCUGGUGAGUUCCUGUGAUGAUGGACUUAAUGUGAAGCAAGUUAAUGUGGCGAAACCCCCGGGUUAGCCGUGAGAUUAAA